AGUGAACGCUGGCGGUAGGCCUAACACAUGCAAGUCGAACGGCAGCACAGGAGAGCUUGCUCUCUGGGUGGCGAGUGGCGGACGGGUGAGGAAUACAUCGGAAUCUACUCUGUCGUGGGGGAUAACGUAGGGGAACUUACGCUAAUACCGCAUACGACCUACGGGUGAAAGCAGGGGAUCUUCGGACCUUGCGCGAUUGAAUGAGCCGAUGUCGGAUUAGCUAGUUGGCGGGGUAAAGGCCCACCAAGGCGACGAUCCGUAGCUGGUCUGAGAGGAUGAUCAGCCACACUGGAACUGAGACACGGUCCAGUCUCCUACGGGAGGCAGCAGUGGGGAAUAUUGGACAAUGGGCGCAAGCCUGAUUCAGCCAUACCGCGUGGGUGAAGAAGGCCUUCGGGUUGUAAAGCCCUUUUGUUGGGAAAGAAAUCCAGCUGGCUAAUACCCGGUUGGGAUGACGGUACCCAAAGAAUAAGCACCGGCUAACUUCGUGCCAGCCGCCGCCGUAA
rnacentral:rRNA from 1 species